rnacentral:rRNA from 1 species
CAAAAACAUCGCCUCCUGCAAAAAUCAAUGUAUAAGAGGUCCUGCCUGCCCAGUGACUAUUAGUUAAACGGCCGCGGUAUUUUGACCGUGCUAAGGUAGCGCAAUCACUUGUCUUUUAAAUGAAGACCUGUAUGAAUGGUGGAACGAGGGCUUAACUGUCUCCCUUCUCCAGUCAAUGAAAUUGAUCUGCCCGUGCAGAAGCGGGCAUAUACAUACAAGACGAGAAGACCCUUUGGAGCUUAAGACAAAAGGCCAAUCUUCGGUUGGGGCGACCACGGGGGAAAAUAAAGCCCCCAUGUGGAAUGUAAAACUAAGAGAGACAUCUCUAAGCCACAGAAUAUCUGACCCCGAUCAACGAACCAAGUUACCCUAGGGAUAACAGCGCAAUCCCCUCCAAGAGUUCAUAUCGACGAGAGGGUUUACGACCUCGAUGUUGGAUCAGGACAUCCUAAUGGUGCAGCCGCUAUUAAGGGUUCGUUUGUUCAACGAUUAAAGUCCUACGUGAUCUGA